AAGCAUGAAAAGGAGGAAUCUGCACAGAAGGCUUUUGCUGAACAAGAACUCAUCAUGGAAAUUAGGGUGGUCCAAGAGUCAAAGAAACUUCAUCAGGAGGCAAAGGAGAAUGCGAUGGUAAUGAUAAAGGUGACAGCUACGAGCAACAAAGACUAAUAUAAUUCAUAGCAUUGUCUGAUCAUCUUGAUGCUCUGUUGUAGCUACGGGAGUUCUUAAUGGACCGUGGUCAUGUUGUCGAUGUAUUACAGAUUGCCUCAAGUUCUUAAAAGAAAUACCUUCUACAGCAACAAAUGAUGCAUCUGCCAAUCCUUUCCAACAUUCCAGCUCUGUCAUGAAUCUUUAUCUAGAGACAAGUUCUACUCUUUUGAAGGUCCUUCAAGCCCAUUUUGGCCAGCUCAUCUCCCACCAACUUUCUGAGGAAUUGAGAAGGUUGCAGGUAUCAUCUGUGCAUGCUAAUCCAAGACUGCAAAAUGGUGGAGCUACAGAUUCAUCAACACAUGAUGCAUCAUAUCUAAUUAUUCACUGGCCUCUUUAGAUCAACAGAAAAUAAUCUUUUUUAGCAUCUCUAUCCAAACACAGUUCAAAAUGUAUGAUUAUUCACUGGCCCUUCACUCA